UGUCGGCGUAGAGCAGCCCGGUAGCUCGCGUGGCUCAUAACCACGAGGUCGCAAGUUCGAAUCUUGCCGCCGCAACCA
rnacentral:tRNA from 1 species